UCAAAGUGCUUGUUAAUGGGUUUAACGAUAAAUCCAGUACGCCCAUGAGAGGUUCCCCAUACCACUGUUUCCUUCGGUUUUCUAUCUUUCUUAUAUAUAAUUUUCUUUUUGAAAUUGCAGGUUUUGUUUGUUGUUUGUUGAAAUCGCCCCCACUUUUGAUGUUUUCUCUUUUGUAAAUAUGGCCGAAGGGGAUGGGUCUCAAAUUCUAUUGAAAGCCUGAUUUCCAUGGGAUUUAUGGAGUAUAAACUCUCAUACAAGUUCUCGUAUCCCACACACCAAAAGAAACGGGGAGGGGGUUUGAACGUGUGAUGAUAUUAGGGAUUACAAAGAACAUGAUAUAAGGGAAUUGGUAGCUGCUCAAUGUCUUGGAUAUCUAUGAUUUUAUAUCUCGCUCACAGGAGCGGUGGUUGGGUUGAAAUAUCAUGGGAAUCUCGCUUUGAAUCCUGAUUCCAUUCUAGGAGGCCACACCAUGCUAGAAUUCAAGGAGUUACUGAUCUUUUUGUCACAGGAAGAAGGAACUACUAGUUCUGCUUACAGAGGUAAGCCCAAAUAUGAUGUGUCAUCAGAUCCAACUCCAAGAAUAACAACUACUAGUUCAGAUUCUGAGAAACAAGUUUAUCAUCUGGAGACAAAU